rnacentral:rRNA from 1 species
GUGCCAGCAGCCGCGGUAAAACGUAGGGGGCGAGCGUUAUCCGGAUUUACUGGGCGUAAAGCGCUCGUAGGCGGUUGGGUAAGUUGGGCGUGAAAGCUCCCGGCUUAACUGGGAGAGGUCGUUCAAAACUGCCUGGCUAGAGUGUGGGAGAGGAGAGUGGAAUUCCCGGUGUAGUGGUGGAAUGCGUAGAUAUCGGGAGGAACACCAGUGGCGAAGGCGGCUCUCUGGCCCACAACUGACGCUGAGGAGCGAAAGCGUGGGGAGCGAACGGGAUUAGAUACCCCGGUAGUCCACGCCGUAAACGAUGGAUACUAGGUGUGGGAGGUUCGACCCCUUCCGUGCCGAAGCUAACGCAUUAAGUACCCCGCCUGGGGAGUACGGCCGCAAGGCUGAAACUUAAAUGAAUUGACGGGG